CCGUUUCUAGGAACUGUUUUGGAUCAGUCCGUAGCAGGGGCAUUUUCGUCCCCUUUUUGUGCUUUAUAAAUUCUGGAAAAAGUUUGGGGUGUUAAUAUCAGUAGAUAUUCAGGUUGUGUAAAAAAUUGAGAAUUUUUGGCCAUACGGUUUGAGAGAUAUGGAUUUUACGGUGAAGGACCCCAAAACUGUUUUUUUGGCCAAAAAGUUACUGCCACAAAAAGGAAAUUUCGGGGUUAGCUAGCUUGCUCUAAAAAUUCUGGGCUUUUGGUAUGUUAUAUUACACUCAAUAAGCUUUCCAUAGACUCCGAAACGGACUAAAUCCGACAUCGGAGGAGAGAGUUAUGAAAUUUCUCCCAAACUACUCAAAG
rnacentral:lncRNA from 1 species